GGCGGAUGUGGCCAAGUGGCUCAAGGC
rnacentral:tRNA from 1 species